AACAGGAUUAGAUACCCUGGUAGUCCACACUGUAAACUAUGAAUACUCGCUGUUGGCAAUAUACCGCCAGCGGCCACGCGAAAGCAUUAAGUAUUCCACCUGGGGAGUACGCCGGCAACGGUGAAACUCAAAGGAAUUGACGGGGGCCCGCACAAGCGGAGGAACAUGUGGUUUAAUUCGAUGAUACGCGAGGAACCUUACCCGGGCUUGAAUUGCAACUGAAUAAUUUGGAAACAAAUUAGCCGCAAGGCAGUUGUGAAGGUGCUGCAUGGUUGUCGUCAGCUCGUGCCGUGAGGUGUCGGCUUAAGUGCCAUAACGAGCGCAACCCCUAUCAUUAGUUACUAACAGUUUACGCUGAGGACUCUAAUGAGACUGCCGUCGUAAGAUGCGAGGAAGGUGGGGAUGACGUCAAAUCAGCACGGCCCUUACGUCCGGGGCUACACACGUGUUACAAUGGGGGGUACAGCAGGUCGCUUGCUGGUGACAGUUGGCCAAUCCCAAAAACCCCUCUCAGUUCGGAUCGAAGUCUGCAACCCGACUUCGUGAAGCUGGAUUCGCUAGUAAUCGCGCAUCAGCCACGGCGCGGUGAAUACGUUCCCGGGCCUUGUACACACCGCCCGUCAAGCCAUGGGAGCCGGGGGUACCUGAAGUACGUAACCGCUAAGGAGCGUCCUAGGGUAAAACUGGUGACUGGGGCUAAGUCGUAACAAGGUAACC
rnacentral:rRNA from 1 species